rnacentral:lncRNA from 1 species
AUUAUAAAGGAGCAAAGCAUGGCGUCUAGAAUAUGAACCAGUAUACAUUAAAUUAAGUUAUAUAAAAAUGAUAAAUCUGUUCGGCUAAAAAUGUCAAACGCUAUUUGUAUUAAUUACCCGAAAAGAUAGGGUUUAUCAGGCUAGCGAUUGACGGCUGACUAAAUAGUAGAAUGGGGCUGAAUAUUGAAAUACUACUUUUUGAUAAAUAUUCCUAAAGUAAUGAACUAGAGAAUUUCUCGCUCGAACACACACUCCAUAAUCUAGUAUAUUAUAAGAGCAUAAACCUGAA